GAAAAGCUAAUGUGCUGCGGGAUAAAACUGCGGUUAAAAUUCAUGACAUUGCGAGGUCCGUUGGCAGCAUAUCACAGAGAGAUUUUAGGAAGUAGUUUUCUGUUGCAGUCUGGGGCAGAAAGUGAGAAGAACAUAUGAACAAGGAGCAGGAGUAAACUACUCAGCCUUUCUAGCCUAAAUGAAGCUUCACCGUUCUGAUUUGGCACAAUCCAGGGACAGUGCUCAUCAGGCAUGGGGAACUUACCGUUUGGAUGCUGGGACCUUCAAAGCAUCAUCGUACAGUGCACAUAGUAAUCUGACCCAGAUAUGGCUGAAGCACUUGGAACCUAAUGUGUGAUUGCAAAACCCUCUAUAUGUUAACACAAAUACAGAAGACAUCGAUAGUAUGUGACUGCAUCACCUAAUAACUGAGUUAGCGACAAUGGAACAGAAGACCAUGAUAAUCAAAAAUAGUCCUGUGGAAAAUCUAAAGAUGAACUCUUCAAAAUAAAUU